AUUGAACGCUGGCGGCAGGCCUAACACAUGCAAGUCGAACGAGUGGCGGACGGGUGAGUAAUGUCUGGGAAACUGCCCGAUGGAGGGGGAUAACUACUGGAAACGGUAGCUAAUACCGCAUACUGAUGGAUUGACCUGCGGUGCAUUAGCUAGUUGGUGGGGUAACGGCUCACCAAGGCCACGAUGCCUAGCAGGCCUGAGAGGGUGAGCGGCCACACUGGAACUGAGACACGGCCCAGACUCCUACGGGAGGCAGCAGUAGGGAAUAUUGGGCAAUGGGCGAAAGUCUGACCGAGCCACGCCGCGUGUAUGAAGAAGGCCUUCGGGUUGUAAAGUACUUUCAGCGAGGAGGCGUUACUCGCAGAAGAAGCACCGGCUAACUCCGUGCCAGCAGCCGCGGUAAUUC
rnacentral:rRNA from 1 species